CAGCUCCGGCCUCCUCCCAGGUCCGCUUGGCUGCUUGGAGCAGGGAGAAGCCAGGGACGUGGUUCAGCACCUUCAAACGGGGCCAGAAGUUUUCCUAUGUGGAUGUGGAUGGGAACACUGUGCCCGUGUCCCAGCUCAACUUCCUGCGGCUGCUGAGCACCAGCGCCCGUCAGAACAUCACCGUCAGCUGCCAAAACGCUGCCGUUUGGUUCGAUGCCGGCACCGGCACCUUCACCAGGGCCCUGCGCUUCCAUGCAUCCAAUGGCGAGGAGCUGGGAUACCGGCACCCGGCAGCACCCAUCCGGGCCCUGCAUGACGGCUGCCAGGAUCGGCGUGGCCGGGAGCAGACGGUGCUGGAAGUGGCCUCAUCCUGCUUGGAGCUGUUCCCUCUGCUGGAUGUGGCCGUGCCUGACUUCGGAGGCACCAACCAGAAGUUCGGCUUCCAACUGGGCCCUGUCUGCUUCCGGGGCUGAUGCGCACGGGAUGGGAUGGGAUGGGAUGGGACCGGGAAUGCUGAUCCAGGGAAUACUCAGGACUCGGAGCUGCCCCUUCUGACCCUUAUUUAUACAGAGGGGGUUCAAGACACCCCCUUUCCCCAUGGUGCUACAACGCUCCCAUAGUGAAGCACUGGAUGUGCCCUCGGUGAAGCCCAUCCCGGUAUUCCCGAAGAUGGGAUGGGUUGAACCUCCUCGUGCUGGGGGAUGGGAAAUGGGGGGACACCCCUCCCCCCCCCCCCCGGUUGAUAUCCGAUAAACCUGUAUCCAAGUG
rnacentral:lncRNA from 14 species